GCGGCGGCCCUGGAAAGGCAAGGGGAGCGAGAGAGGCCUGGCUUACCCCUAUUCGCCGCAGGGACCGCGGAAUGGACCUGACGUUGGACUGAGCACUGACCUUAGACUAAGGACUCUGAAUGAUACAUCACUUCAUGGCAUUGUGGAGCCCUUUCUUGAGGAAAGCUGGAAAGAUGUCUUGGACGCAUCCUCCCUUCCUUUAUGUGUGGCAAAGUGCUUUCAAAGAUGGCGUCAACACUUCCAUCCUCCCUGUAACCUCAUGCCACUCCUCCCAACAAGUGGUGGAAGAUAUCUCUCCUCCCCUUGAACCGAGCCUGUCUUUGUGACUUGAUUUGACCAAAAGAACGUGGAGGAAGGGAUGCUCUGCCAGGCCCAGGCCUACAAGACCCGAUAGUGUCUGCUUUUGGCCUCUUGGGAUUUGGCCACCACGGAUAAGCUCAGGCCAGAGAGCUGAAUGACAAGAGCCUGCCUGGGGAAGGAGAGGCCCGGUCAGCUCCCUGCUCUUCCAGCCCCAGCCAAGGAGCCAGACAUGGGAGUGAAGCCAUCCUGGAUGUUCCAGCUCCGGCCGAGCUCUCAGCUAAAUGCAGCCACGUGAGUGACCUCAGCCAACUCCAUACAGAGCAGAAGAACUAACUUCCCAGCCGAGGCCGGCCAACCCACAGAAUCAUGAAAAAUAAUAAAUUUGUAUUGUUUUAAGCCACUAAGUAUUAGGGUAGUUUGCUGUACAGAAGCAGAUAUCUAAUGCAGUCAGGAACAGUGAUGGACGGUAAUGCCCUCCUAGAAACACUUGAAACAACACUGGAGAAAGGAAAGGACACACAGCCUCCACAAUACCCUGAAGCCCUGUCUGCUCCCCUGUGAAUUUUCAGAUGUUCGUUAAACUCACUCCUACUAGAGGAACCAGAACCCAGGGUGCAGUCCCCGGCCAAGAGGGGCCUCGUCAGGGGCUCUCGAGAACUCAGUGUGAGGGUUGGUUCAGGGAAGAAAGGGGCCCCAGACCCUCGUAGUUCCCUUUCUCCCUGUGGCCUUUCAAAGGGAGAGUCUCACACAGAAAGGAGUCAUAGCUGAAGAAUCUGAGUCUCUAAGGAGACCUAGGACCCUAUAGGAGGUUAGGAGCUUCUGAGAGCCGAGUUUCCUUAGGAAGACCCAGAUGAGAAAUAAUGCAGGAGUUCCCAUGUUCAAGGCGUGAUCCGUAGCAUGUAACAGUUACCCACAAAGGUGUUUGUUAAAUCAAUCAAUUUCUGCCUGAGUUACCUGGACGUUUCAUUAGGUUCAGGGAAUCCAAGACCGGUGCUAAGGUAUCCCCCAGGCAUGGACAAUCCACUUGGACAGUUCCUGGGGCAUCAUACACACUCUCCAGACCAGAGAGAGCCACAGGAAAUUGAAUCUGGAGCUGAAUUGUUGGCCUGUUGUAGACUUGACCUUCACCUACCAUUGAACCACAUGGUGGGGUGAGCUUGGGUCAUCAGCAUAAGCCCAUCACUUGCAUCUUUCCUGAAGAUGCCCUCAUCUUCAAAUCUCCAGGUCAUGGAAAAAAGAUCUCCUCUAGCAGUUACUCAUUUGAAUUGGGGAGGACUCCUAAUGGGAUGUAUGUAAAUUGUUGCUGUAAAUGUUUGAAUAACCAGGUGGUAAAAGCAAGGGGACCAGCAUUUCCUGAUAAAUAUGGGCGGUCAGCUGCCAGCAGAGGCUGUUUUGAAUUGGAUACGGUAAGCAGUGAGAACAAAACGGCUUUGCCUCUAUUUCACCCGGAGUAUCCACUGGUUGACAAGCCCCUGAGAAGAAGGAAGACAGGGGACAAGAGGAGUGUCCUGUAUUGGGGCCAGAAGAUGCUUCUGUCCCUCAUCUUAAUCUUUCAGUGUUUACAAUGGCCCCAGCCCAUUUUCUGGGUCUUCGUGUUCCCUGUGCAUGCAUUUGAGGUGGUUUUCCAUAGAGUCACCUCUCAGAAAACAGAGGAAGGGGAAAGAGGUGGAAACAUGGUACCGUGGGAGUCUUUCUGCAAGAUGGGCCAUGAGCGAGUGGCAAAGGCAAGGGAGGCCAGGGCACAGGCCAGCAGUCGAUGUGGAGCAGUGCAAAGGGGGUGUCGAAAAGAGUUAUCACUUUCUAAAUUGGCUUGUGCCUUUUUGCACAAAUCAAAAGGCCGUGUCCCUCUGCUUAUGCAAGAUCUCUCCGUGUAUGCAAGCUGUUUUGAAAUGCUUUAAGUGCUGCAUGAACCACAGGUGGAAUGACUGCUGUUAUUAGCUCUGUCUGGAAGAUGGCCACACCCGCUGGCAUCUGACUGAGUAGGAAAAAGGCCCCAGGGUAUCCUGUGCUGGGGACACCAGGUGACCGUACAGAGUCCACACCAGCCGGGAGAUCCCAACAGGUGCAGGGCUGAUGGGAAAUGAGCAAGCUUGGACGGUUUUCCUGCGUAGAUGGAGCGUCCGGCUGAGUCACUCUUCCCUCUGCCUGGGGGAGUGAAGUCACAAGUUCUUUGCUCUGUCUUGCCAGCCCUUCUCUUCCCUCCCCGUAGCACUCUUGCCUUCUCUAGGACAGCAAACUAAACAUAACUGGAAUCCAGAACACACUUACUUUAACGGACUUUCCCUCAUAUACUUAAUAUCUAAGAAAAAGGGUCACAUGGCAAACAGACACCUCCCAAAACAAGAGCCAACCACUCGGCAAAACCAAGCUAUUAUCAAGGAUUUUUAGAAGAAAACAAGAGGUGAAGUAUAACGUAGGGUCAAAGACAAGUCCAGAGCAAUCCUACCCUUAAUACUUUCAUAGGCUGAAAAAUGAGAUUGAUAUUCUUUUUUUUUUUUUUUUUAUGCGGUACGCAGGCCUCUCACUGUUGUGGCCUCUCCCGUUGCGGAGCACAGGCUCCGGACGCGCAGGCUCAGCGGCCGUGGCUCACGGGCCCAGCCGCUCCGCGGCAUGUGGGAUCUUCCCGGACCGGGGCACGAACCCGUGUCCCCUGCAUCGGCAGGCGGACUCUCAACCACUGCGCCACCAGGGAAGCCCGAGAUUGAUAUUCUUAAUGUGAUGACUUCAUCACAGAGAUCCUCAGACAUAUUCAAAAGUAAUAUUUCAUUAUUAAUAUUUAAUUUGCAUGCUGUUCCAUAUCCUUUCUGGAAUAAAACAAGGCAGUAAUAAUA